UGACUUUAUGUACAGCUUCAACAUAUAAUUCAAACACAAGGACAGAUACCACAAAAACUUCUGAAGGAUGGCUUAUGUACAGAGACUUUUUUCCGCCAAAAGAGAGCCAGAAGAAAAGGCUGCAGACGUCAGUGGGUACUGAAGACCCCGGAUGAGUACGGAAGUGACAUAGAAACAGACGUCAAUUCCAAAAGUCUGGAUGAUCUUCUGACGAUUAAUCCACCCUGCCAUCUGUCGGACGAAGACAACGAGGCAGAACUUGAGGACCGAGAAGACUUUGUGGAACUUU